rnacentral:rRNA from 1 species
UGGUAAUGCCGGAUGCUCCAUCACACCGCAUGGUGUGUUGGGAAAGCCUUUGCGGCAUGGGAUGGGGUCGCGUCCUAUCAGCUUGAUGGCGGGGUAACGGCCCACCAUGGCUUCGACGGGUAGCCGGCCUGAGAGGGCGACCGGCCACAUUGGGACUGAGAUACGGCCCAGACUCCUACGGGAGGCAGCAGUGGGGAAUAUUGCACAAUGGGCGCAAGCCUGAUGCAGCGACGCCGCGUGAGGGAUGGAGGCCUUCGGGUUGUAAACCUCUUUUGUUAGGGAGCAAGGCAUUUUGUGUUGAGUGUACCUUUCGAAUAAGCACCGGCUAACUACGUGCCAGCAGCCGCGGUAAUACGUAGGGUGCAAGCGUUAUCCGGAAUUAUUGGGCGUAAAGGGCUCGUAGGCGGUUCGUCGCGUCCGGUGUGAAAGUCCAUCGCUUAACGGUGGAUCCGCGCCGGGUACGGGCGGGCUUGAGUGCGGUAGGGGAGACUGGAAUUCCCGGUGUAACGGUGGAAUGUGUAGAUAUCGGGAAAGAACACCA